GGAGGAAAGUAGGGGAUCGCAAGACCUUACGCUUUUGGAGCGGCCGAUGUCUGAUUAGCUUGUCGGUGAGGUAAAGGCUUACCAAGGCUUCGAUCAGUAGCUGGUCUGAGAGGACGACCAGCCACACUGGGACUGAGACACGGCCCAGACUCCUACGGGAGGCAGCAGUGGGGAAUUUUGGACAAUGGGGGAAACCCUGAUCCAGCCAUGCCGCGUGAGUGAAGAAGGCCUUCGGGUUGUAAAGCUCUUUCAGCCGGAACGAAACGGUUACGAUUAAUACCUGUAACUACUGACGGUACCGGAAGAAGAAGCACCGGCUAACUACGUGCCAGCAGCCGCGGUAAUACGUAGGGUGCGAGCGUUAAUCGGAGUUACUGGGCGUAAAGCGUGCGCAGGUGGUUUUGUAAGUCAGAUGUGAAAUCCCCGGGCUUAACCUGGGAACUGCGUUUGAAACUACAAGGCUAGA
rnacentral:rRNA from 1 species